GCAAUCUACCUUUUACAGAGGGAUAGCCCAGAGAAAUUUGGAUUAAUACCUCAUAGUAUUAUGAAAUGGCAUCAUUUUAUAAUUAAAGUAACAACGGUUCAAGAUGGGCAUGCGUCCCAUUAGCUAGAUGGUAAGGUAACGGCUUACCAUGGCAACGAUGGGUAGGGGUCCUGAGAGGGAGAUCCCCCACACUGGUACUGAGACACGGACCAGACUCCUACGGGAGGCAGCAGUGAGGAAUAAUGGACAAUGGGCGCAAGCCUGAUCCAGCCAUGCCGCGUGCAGGAUGACGGUCCUAUGGAUUGUAAACUGCUUUUGUACGAGAAGAAACACUGCUUCGUGAAGCAGCUUGACGGUAUCGUAAGAAUAAGGAUCGGCUAACUCCGUGCCAGCAGCCGCGGUAAUACGGAGGAUCCAAGCGUUAUCCGGAAUCAUUGGGUUUAAAGGGUCCGUAGGCGGUCUUGUAAGUCAGUGGUGAAAGCCCAUCGCUCAACGGUGGAACGGCCAUUGAUACUGCAGGACUUGAAUUAUUAGGAAGUAACUAGAAUAUGUAGUGUAGCGGUGAAAUGCUUAGAGAUUACAUGGAAUACCAAUUGCGAAGGCAGGUUACUACUAAUGGAUUGACGCUGAUGGACGAAAGCGUGGGUAGCGAACAGGAUUAGAUACCCUGGUAGUCCACGCCGUAAACGAUGGAUACUAGCUGUUGGAAGCAAUUUCAGUGGCUAAGCGAAAGUGAUAAGUAUCCCACCUGGGGAGUACGUUCGCAAGAAUGAAACUCAAAGGAAUUGACGGGGGCCCGCACAAGCGGUGGAGCAUGUGGUUUAAUUCGAUG
rnacentral:rRNA from 1 species